UACGUAGGGGGCAAGCGUUGUUCGGAAUCACUGGGCGUAAAGGGAGCGUAGGCGGAGGAAUAAGUUAGGAGUUUAAUGUACGGGCUUAACCCGUAAUCUGCUCCUAAUACUGUUUUUCUUGAGUAUGGGAGAGGGAGAUGGAAUUCCAGGUGUAGCGGUGGAAUGCGUAGAUAUCUGGAAGAACACCAGCUGCGAAGGCGGUCUCCUGGCCCAAUACUGACGCUGAGGCUCGAAAGCUAGGGGAGCAAACAGGAUUAGAUACCCUGGUAGUCCUAGCUGUAAACGAUGGACACUAGAUGCUGGAGGAGUCAAUCCUUUCGGUGUCGUAGCUAACGCGUUAAGUGUCCCGCCUGGGGAGUACGCUCGCAAGGGUGAAACUCAAAGGAAUUGACGGGGGCCCGCACAAGCGGUGGAGCAUGUGCUUUAAUUCGAUGCAACGCGAAGAACCUUACCUGGGUUUGACAUGGGAGUGAAAGUUUCCAGAGAUGGGAACCCUUCCGCAAGGAACACUCCACACAGGUGCUGCAUGGCUGUCGUCAGCUCGUGUCGUGAGAUGUUGGGUUAAGUCCCGCAACGAGCGCAACCCUCGCCCUUAGUUGCCAUCAGGUCAAGCUGGGAACUCUAAGGGGACUGCCUGGUUUAACCAGGAGGAAGGUGGGGAUGACGUCAAGUCAUCAUGGCUCUUACGUCCAGGGCCAGACACGUGCUACAAUGGUCGGUACAGAGGGUCGCAAAACCGCAAGGUCAAGCUAAUCCCACAAAACCGAUCUCAGUUAGGAUUGGAGUCUGCAAUUCGACUCCAUGAAUUUGGAAUCGCUAGUAAUCGCGGAUCAGAACGCCGCGGUGAAUACGUUCCCGGGCCUUGUACACACCGCCCGUCAAGCCAUGAAAGAUGGGAGUACCCAAAGUCGUUCAUCCAACCGCAAGGGGGAGGACGCCUAAGGUAAGACCAUUGAUUGGGGCU
rnacentral:rRNA from 1 species